GACGAACGCUGGCGGCGUGCUUAACACAUGCAAGUCGAACGAUGAAGAAAAGAAUCGAAGCUUCGGCAGAAAUUCAUUUCGGAUUAGUGGCAGACGGGUGAGUAACGCGUGAGCAACCUACCUCUUACAAAGGGAUAGCCUCGGGAAACCGGGAUUAAUACCAUAUAACAUUGCGACGAAGCAUUUCGAUGCAAUCAAAGCUAUGGCGGUAAGAGAUGGGCUCGCGUCCCAUUAACCGGAUGGUGAGGUAACGGCUCACCAUAGUGACGAUGGGUAACCGGCCUGAGAGGGUGAGCGGUGACACUGGAGCUGAGACACGGUCCAGACUCCUACGGGAGGCAGCAGUGGGGAAUAUUGCACAAUGGAGGGAACUCUGAUGCAGCGACGCCGCGUGAGUGAUGAAGGAAUUCGUUUCGUAAAACUCUGUUCUAUGGGAAGAAAAGGACUGUACCAUAGGAGAAAGCUCCGGCUAAAUACGUG
rnacentral:rRNA from 1 species